rnacentral:rRNA from 1 species
UACGUAGGGGGCAAGCGUUGUCCGGAUUUAUUGGGCGUAAAGAGCGUGUAGGCGGCUUUGCAAGUCCGUUGUGAAAACUCGAGGCUCAACCUCGAGACGCCGGUGGAAACUGCAAAGCUAGAGUCCGGAAGAGGAGAGUGGAAUUCCUGGUGUAGCGGUGAAAUGCGCAGAUAUCAGGAAGAACACCAGUGGCGAAGGCGGCUCACUGGCCCGGUACUGACGCUGAGGUGCGAAAGCGUGGGGAGCAAACAGG